rnacentral:rRNA from 1 species
AGAGUUUGAUCCUGGCUCAGGACGAAUGCUGGCGGCGUGCCUAACACAUGCAAGUCGAACGGGGCUUGUUAUCCAGAAUUUUUCGGAAGGACGGAGAACAAGGCUAGUGGCGGACGGGUGAGUAACGCGUGAGUAACCUGCCUAUCAGAGGGGGAUAACGUUCUGAAAAGGACGCUAAUACCGCAUAACAUAUAGAAGCCGCAUGGCAGCUAUAUCAAAGGAGCAAUCCGCUGAGAGAUGGACUCGCGUCUGAUUAGAUAGUUGGUGGGGUAACGGCCUACCAAGUCGACGAUCAGUAGCCGGACUGAGAGGUUGUACGGCCACAUUGGGACUGAGACACGGCCCAGACUCCUACGGGAGGCAGCAGUGGGGGAUAUUGCGCAAUGGGGGAAACCCUGACGCAGCAACGCCGCGUGAAGGACGAAGGUUUUCGGAUUGUAAACUUCUUUUGUCAGGGACGAAGAGAUGACGGUACCUGACGAAUAAGCUCCGGCUAACUACGUGCCAGCAGCCGCGGUAAUACGUAGGGAGCGAGCGUUGUCCGG